rnacentral:misc_RNA from 1 species
GCCGUUAUGAGUUGCUGUUGCUGGGUUACAAGUUCUUCUGGCUGUCCUGGAACUUGACUCCUCCGGCCAACAAUCAAAUGCACCAAAUCUUGUAAUUGAUGGAUUUUUUGCUCAAGAAAAGAGAGAUUGUUGAGCAUGGCCCUUGGAUCCCAAUCUGGGAUUUUGUUGGUUUGAAGUAUUUGAAGUGUUUCAUUAAUUUGACUAUUUUCUCGAUCCACUAUUUUGAUAUGAUCAUUGGGAUUGGAAGGAAGCAAAGAUUGGGUUUCGGAUUGUGGAUUGAAUUCUUGGAAAGGGGUAUCUGUCCUAAUGCCAAAGAUAGAGGUAUCUUCCCACUUCUGCUGAUGUUGAUGCGAGUCCAAAUUAUAAUUGGUAAAAGAUGGUUUCUUGGUGGGAAUGUUUUUCGCUAAUUCAUUACCAGAAGAUGAAGAUUUUGCCCACGUUUCUUGACACAGCGUGUCCAUGUGAUCCAUCAUCGAGUCNNNNCAAGACUCGGUGCUAAUCAAACCAGAUUCAAGAUUGCUUGAAGUCAGACGCAGGCUGCUUCAUCUCGAAUUGGGCACAAAGGAACACAAAAAGAC